CACAUUUGUACUAAAAUCAUAUUUUGAAGAUGCGUUUCUAAAACUUGUACCGUUUCAAGAUCAACUUCAAAUAAUUCCUUUUAGAAAAAUAAAAACACGUGGACAUUAAAUGGGCUCAUUUAUGUUAUCUGGAGCUGCCACGUGGGAACAAUUCUAGACAAAAGAACACUACCGCACCUGAUCCUCUCUCCCUCACAUUUCCUCCGUCGCCACCACGCCAUUGCCGCCGCCACUCCCCCCAUCCGGUCAGUCUCUUUCGAUAUUCUCUCCGCUUUCUCUCUCAAUUCAAAUGAUAUCUAUGCCUUCGGUUUUUAGUCUUAUGUAGGGGAUUCUUCCAGGAAAGGCCCUCUGAUCAACGACGAAGGUAUUGGAACCUUCAAUGGCACAUUCUUUGAGUUUGCCCUCUACUUGUCUCCUCAAAUUUGGUUUAGCUACUGGAACCAGGGUUUCACAUGGGAAAUGUAGCAUGUUGGCUUCAAGAUCCUCACCCAGGUUUUUUAGUGUCCAAGCUGUGCAAGAGAAUGAAGGUCCUCGAAGGCUAGUUGACAUUAUCCGAAUUGUGCCACAGCUCUCAAGAAACUACUUUCAAAGUCCUUCUCGAAGGGCACUUUUUGGGGGAAUCUCCUUGUUAGGUGGCUUUUAUGUGGCACAGACAAUUUCUCUGUCCUUUGGAGCUUUAGGAGUGAACGAUGUAAUUGCUGCAGUAUUAUGUGUUCUCAUCACAGAGUAUGUGACUCGGUUUUAUUACAGCCGUCCAAAGGUUACUUUUCCCCUUGCUCUUCUCAAUAAUUUCAAGAUGGGUUUCACGUAUGGCCUCUUUAUUGAUGCUUUUAAGCUUGCUAGUUAAGCCCUAGGAGCCAUUUGAGCUGCUUGCCUUCUUGAGCAACAUGCUAUCUUUCAACAUUAGCUGUUCUAAUUCUCUUAUUUUAUUUUAGAAGAUAGUCUUCCCAUUUGAAUCCUUCCAUUGUCUUCCUGUUUGAUCCAUCUUCUUCUGCUCUUUUUCUGAUUUACAUCCUAAGCUCCUUUUUUCUUUUUCUCUUUUUUGGUUGCUUCACUUGUAAAAUUUUUGCAAUAUAUAUGAAAUCAAAUUCUUCCAAAGCAA